UGUGUGUGUGUCUCUGUGUGUGUGUGUAUAUAUAUAUAUGUAUAUACACACACAGACACACACACACA